rnacentral:rRNA from 1 species
AUUGAACGCUGGCGGCAUGCCUUACACAUGCAAGUCGAACGGCAGCGGGGGAGAAGCUUGCUUUUCCUGCCGGCGAGUGGCGAACGGGUGAGUAAUACAUCGGAACGUGCCCUGUAGUGGGGGAUAACUAGUCGAAAGAUUAGCUAAUACCGCAUACGACCUGAGGGUGAAAGUGGGGGACCGCAAGGCCUCAUGCUAUAGGAGCGGCCGAUGUCUGAUUAGCUAGUUGGUGGGGUAAAGGCCUACCAAGGCGACGAUCAGUAGCUGGUCUGAGAGGACGAUCAGCCACACUGGGACUGAGACACGGGCCAGACUCCUACGGGAGGAAGCAGUGGGGAAUUUUGGACAAUGGGCGAAAGCCUGAUCCAGCAGUGCCGCGUGUGUGAAGAGGGCCUUCGGGUUGUAAAGCACUUUUGUCCGGAAAGAAAUGGCUCUGGUUAAUACCUGGGGUCGAUGACGGUACCGGAAGAAUAAGGACCGGCUAACUACGUGCCAGCCGCCGCCGUAA